rnacentral:misc_RNA from 1 species
GUGAAGAACGUAGCGAAAUGCGAUAAUUAAUGUGAAUUGCAGAAUUCCGUGAAUCAUCGAGUCUUUGAACGCACAUUGCGCCUCAUGGCAUUCCGUGAGGCAUGCCCAUCUCAGCGUUAGAAAAUAUUCUCAAAUUUUAGUUUUGUGCUAAAAUUUGGAUCAUGUCAAGGAAGCUAUUACUAUUAUUGUGAUUGCUCUUUGGAAAUUGAUAGGUCUUUGAGUUGCUACUCAUAGAACGUGAUGAAUCUUUCUUCGUUCUAUUGUAAUUCACUCUGGUAGUCCUAAAAGUUGUAUGCCUGUGGCAUAUCUUGUAAUUUGACCUGAGAUUGGGUAGGGAUACCCGCUGAACUUAAGCAUAUCAAUAAGCGGAGGA